GCGCGCAGAUAUAAAAGGGCCUGGCUCUGGUUCUUCUCCAGGUUGGAGGCGGUUUCCGUGGCAUCCGGGGUUUUAUCCCACUUACCUUGAGUCGGCUUCUGACUGCAAGGGAGCGCGGCCGCUGCUCUGGUUUUGCAUCUUCAGUGGACUCUGGGUAGCCUUGCAGGUCUCCUUAACAGAAGUGGCCCACGCCUUCAGAGCCACGCGGUGGGUGGAAAUAGAAGCCAGAGAGAGGUUCAAGAUUUUCCACAACUUUCUCCCUCAACUUUUCACCAGAAACCUUUGUAUCUCAUCUUUGAAGUUUCAGAAAGAGACAGAGCAUGAGCAGGGAAGGGGCAGAGAGAGAGGGACACACAGAAUCUGAAG